UACGUAGGGUGCAAGCGUUGUCCGGAAUCAUUGGGCGUAAAGCGCGCGUAGGUGGCUUCGUAAGUCCGUUGUGAAAGUCAAAGGCUCAACCUUUGAAUGCCGAUGGAUACUGCGAAGCUAGAGUACGGAAGAGGCGAGUGGAAUUCCUGGUGUAGCGGUGGAAUGCGCAGAUAUCAGGAGGAACACCAAUAGCGAAGGCAGCUCGCUGGGCAUGAUCUGACGCUGAGGAGCGAAAGUGUGGGGAGCGAACAGG
rnacentral:rRNA from 1 species